rnacentral:rRNA from 1 species
CCAGACUCCUACGGGAGGCAGCAGUGGGGAAUAUUGCACAAUGGGGGGAACCCUGAUGCAGCGACGCCGCGUGGGUGAAGGAGCGUUUCGGCGCGUAAAGCCCUAUCGGCAGGGAAGAAGGAGGACGGUACCUGACUAAGAAGCCCCGGCUAACUACGUGCCAGCAGCCGCGGUAAUACGUAGGGGGCAAGCGUUAUCCGGAUUUACUGGGUGUAAAGGGGGCGCAGACGGCAGCGCAAGCCAGGAGUGAAAGCCCGGGGCCCAACCCCGGGACUGCUCUUGGAACUGCGCGGCUGGAGUGAAGGAGGGGCAGGCGGAAUUCCUGGUGUAGCGGUGAAAUGCGUAGAUAUCAGGAGGAACACCGGUGGCGAAGGCGGCCUGCUGGACUGCGACUGACGUUGAGGCCCGAAAGCGUGGGGAGCAAACAGGAUUAGAUACCCCCGUAUUA